rnacentral:rRNA from 1 species
GUGGGGAAUAUUGGGCAAUGGGGGAAACCCUGACCCAGCGACGCCGCGUGAGGGAAGAAGGCCUUAGGGUCGUAAACCUCUGUUGUGUGGGAAGAAGAGCGUGACGGUACCACACGAGGAAGUCCCGGCUAACUCCGUGCCAGCAGCCGCGGUAAUACGGAGGGUGCGAGCGUUGUCCGGAUUUAUUGGGUUUAAAGGGUGCGUAGGCUGGAAGGUCAGUCAGCGGUGAAAAGCUGUCGCUUAACGAUAGUCUUGCCGCAGAUACUUCCUUUCUUGGAUGAGGAGGAGGCCACUGGAACGGAUGGUGUAGCGGUGAAAUGCAUAGAUAUCAUCCAGAACACCGAUUGCGAAGGCAGGUGGCUGUACCUUAAUCGACGCUGAUGCACGAAAGCAUGGGGAGCAAACAGGAUUAGAAACCCCAGUAGUCC